UGCUGCACUGGCUGCAGAUGCUGCUGCUGCUGCUGCCCCAGCUGCCGAGGAAAAGAAGGAGGAAACCAAGGAGAGUGAUGAUGAGGAUAUGGGUUUCAGUCUGUUUGAUUAAAUUAUCCCAAUUUCCAUAGUUUUGUAAGCAGUUUGUUAGCAGUUAUUUAGUUUCUAGUAUAGUAUGAUCGAACUAUCCGUGGUGAAGUAUUUUCUAGUAUAGACCUGCUUUUGGAAUUUCUUAUAAUUUGGUUCCAGUUAUAUAUACAAAUUAGUGGGUUAAUUUUGUUUUA